AGUGAACGCUGGCGGUAGGCCUAACACAUGCAAGUCGAACGGCAGCACAGUAAGAGCUUGCUCUUACGGGUGGCGAGUGGCGGACGGGUGAGGAAUACAUCGGAAUCUACUUUUUCGUGGGGGAUAACGUAGGGAAACUUACGCUAAUACCGCAUACGACCUACGGGUGAAAGCAGGGGAUCUUCGGACCUUGCGCGAUUGAAUGAGCCGAUGUCGGAUUAGCUAGUUGGCGGGGUAAAGGCCCACCAAGGCGACGAUCCGUAGCUGGUCUGAGAGGAUGAUCAGCCACACUGGAACUGAGACACGGUCCAGACUCCUACGGGAGGCAGCAGUGGGGAAUAUUGGACAAUGGGCGCAAGCCUGAUCCAGCCAUACCGCGUGGGAGAAGAAGGCCUUCGGGUUGUAAAGCCCUUUUGUUGGGAAAGAAAAGCAGCAGGUUAAUACCCCGCUGUUCUGACGGUACCCAAAGAAUAGGCACCGGCUAACUUCGUG
rnacentral:rRNA from 1 species